rnacentral:tRNA from 1 species
GUUGUGGCUCAGUGGUGAGCACUUGCCUAGCACGUGUGAGACACUGGGUUCAAUCCCCAGGGCAACA